rnacentral:lncRNA from 1 species
UCUGCCUAUAGAGGCCUGGGGUCCCUUUGGCAGCACUUUUCUCAAGAAAGUAGAGUCGUGGACAACCAACUGCACAGGUUGGGAGGCUUUGAAGAACAAGCUGCCAUGAAUCCUGCAGCUACAAGGAAAUGAACUCUAUUAACUUGAGUGAGCUUAAAACUAGAUCCUUCCCCAGUCAAGCCUCCAGGUGAGAAUUCAAUCCUGGCUGGCACCUGGAUUGCAGCUUACAGAAGACCCAGCUAAGGCCAUGUCUGGACUUUAAAUCCACAGGAACUGCAAGAUGGUAUCAGAAGUGGGACCUGCAGUGGGGCAUCUAGCAACCCCCAGGAGCAUUGAGUGACCAGGCUUGGGACCCACCGGGCGCAGGGUGUCCAUUGUUCUCUCGAAGCAACUGAGAAUUGUGGAUAUUCUUCAUUAUUCCAUCAUCAUCUCAAACCUCUUGGGUAUAGUGUUUGACUACUACUGUGACCAUAAAUUCCAAUAAAACCUAGGAAAAAUGAAACCACUACAUUAACUGAAAGGAUGUGCCUGUCACAGUCUCCACCAGAAGCUUUAUCUUACUACAGAGUCCAGAUGCAUUAAGGCUGUGUUCGAGCCAUGAUCUUCCUCUGAAGAAGAAAUGAAGAAGAAAUUUAUCUUAUUUUUGGAUAUAGUGUUCUUAGUUGGCAGUUUAAUUAUUAUUUUUACUUCAUCACUUUGUAUACGUCAUCGCACUUUCUCCUGGCCUAUAAGAUCUCUCCUGAGAAAUUUUACGUUCUACUUUACUGGAACUUCAUUAAAUAUUAUUUGCAUCAUUUUUCUCAUUGCUUUCAGGAUUU